GGGGGAGGACGUGAUGACGUGAGACGCCGCACGUGCUUUAGGUGGGCGUGUCCGGAGGGAGGUUGAGGAGAGAGGACGCGGAGUCGAGAGUAAGCAAUGCCGCUCCGUGCCGAUUUGUGAGUGUGGUCCGGCUUAGACGAAGUGGAGGGAGGGCUCGGUUCGGUGAAGAUUUGGUGGGUCAGUGGACCUGGUCUGACGUGGUGGUGUAUGCCGGUUU